rnacentral:lncRNA from 1 species
CUCUUGCUCAGAAGCUUGCACGAGCUUUCUGUGCUGCUCUGCAUUUCUGCUACUGUAACUUCAUUAGAUGCCCACCCUGUGUCAUUUUGAAUUUGAAUUUUGAAGAUACUGAGAACCUACAGCAACUCUUAUAAACUUCAUCGACAGCUGGGAGGAUCCAUCUUAUGGGAUCACCCAUUUGAAUUCAUGCCAGUCUCUACAGGGUUACUGAUGCCAGCAAUUUAAGGAUCUUCGCAUCCAGUCUGAGUGGGUUGAGUGGGAGCACACUACCAAGCCUUGGAAGUUGCUGCACAGUGAACGUAUUGCGUGCUGGAUCAUUUUCUCCAUUUCACAGACUACGAAUGCCAGGUCUCAGCUGAAAAAGGAACCUAAGGCUCCCCAUUUUGAAGUCAAGGUACAUAUUCUUUCUUGCUUUCUCCUGAGCAUUGUUCUGGCUCAUCUCUUAAUUCACAAGAAGCCAUACUAUAUAUUAACAGACAAGUUCGCCUGGAAAUUUAUUUUGCAGGAGAUUUUGUUAUUGCCUCAUAAACAUAGAGCUCCCUUAAAUUGUCAUCAGAAUACAUCACCAUGAAAUUACGAAGCAAUAAAAGAAAGAAACUAAAACA